rnacentral:lncRNA from 1 species
ACUAAUCUAAAUAUAUAUAUACAACAUCCCUGUUUCCCAAAAUUAAAGGUAUUAAACACAGGGUGAAGCGUUCAAGAGAGCCAAUGAGAAAGAGCAUCUAACCUGUGGGAAGCUUCCAACAACAAAAGAACAUAUUGUUCUUAGUUUUUAUCUAUUGAAUUGCCACAACAAGAGCUAUCCGACAGUUUGCAGUAGUUGAGUUCAGCUUUUUCUAGUAUCAAGUUCAGUUCAUUCACAGCUUUUCAAAACCCUUUGCUACUCACUUAGAUUUCCUUGACCCGUUUUUUUUGUAUUGGCAAUUGCCUAGAUUUGUCAUCUUUACGGAAGGCUCUGACAUCUU